GCGUUUAUACAUUCGUGUGACGCACAGUUCAUACUUUUUUUGAAAUAUACAGUUUGUAGAAGGUGUCCGUUGUUAUUCUCUGGUUCACAUGUUGUAAUGUACGUAUAGAUUAUUUAUUUUUGUAUUUCUCCGUCCGAGGCGUUCUUCUGUUUAUUUGAAUUAUAUUCCUAGCCCAUAGUGUUGUCAGUAAUAUAUGAUUUGUUAAUUAAGAUGACAGUUGUAUGUCGAUGUUUUAGUAAAUCAAUUAAGAGGAGACAAAUCAAAAUAAGAAAACAAACGAGUGAACAUCACGAAAUCAAAAAGAAGCGAGACAGGUAGGGUAAGUCGACAGAUAAGAGUCUUCUGCGAUGAAUGCCUAAUACGUCAUGCAAAUUCACACUCAAAAUGUCACAAUAGGAUACAAUCG
rnacentral:lncRNA from 1 species